rnacentral:misc_RNA from 1 species
CGAAAACCAUCUUGAGAUUUGUCCACGGUUACAUUUUCAUUAUCCUCAGCUCGAGAAGAUGUGACAGUUUUUCUCACUUUAAUCUUGAAAACAGGCUUCUUUCUUUCAAGACUUGCAGAAACAGCAUCAGGUUCUCUGAUAGGUUCAGAAAUUCCUGGAUUAUCUUGUCCAAGAUUGAUUGCUGGCUGCCCUUGAUCACGGCUGCCAAGG